GUUUGACCUCGGAUCAGGUAGGGUUACCCGCUGAACUUAAGCAUAUCAAUAA
rnacentral:rRNA from 6 species